AGAUUAAGUUAUUAAGGGCGCACGGUGGAUGCCUUGGCACUAGAAGCCGAUGAAGGACGUUACUAACGACGAUAUGCUUUGGGGAGCUGUAAGUAAGCUUUGAUCCAGAGAUUUCCGAAUGGGGAAACCCAGCAUGAGUUAUGUCAUGUUAUCGAUAUGUGAAUACAUAGCAUAUCAGAAGGCACACCCGGAGAACUGAAACAUCUUAGUACCCGGAGGAAGAGAAAGAAAAUUCGAUUCCCUUAGUAGCGGCGAGCGAAACGGGAAGAGCCCAAACCAACAAGCUUGCUUGUUGGGGUUGUAGGACACUCUAUACGGAGUUACAAAGGACGACAUUAGACGAAUCAUCUGGAAAGAUGAAUCAAAGAAGGUAAUAAUCCUGUAGUCGAAAAUGUUGUCUCUCUUGAGUGGAUCCUGAGUACGACGGAGCACGUGAAAUUCCGUCGGAAUCUGGGAGGACCAUCUCCUAAGGCUAAAUACUCUCUAGUGACCGAUAGUGAACCAGUACCGUGAGGGAAAGGUGAAAAGCACCCCGGAAGGGGAGUGAAAUAGAACCUGAAACCGUGUGCUUACAAGUAGUCAGAGCCCGUUAAUGGGUGAUGGCGUGCCUUUUGUAGAAUGAACCGGCGAGUUACGAUUUGAUGCAAGGUUAAGCAGUAAAUGUGGAGCCGUAGCGAAAGCGAGUCUGAAUAGGGCGUUUAGUAUUUGGUCGUAGACCCGAAACCAGGUGAUCUACCCUUGGUCAGGUUGAAGUUCAGGUAACACUGAAUGGAGGACCGAACCGACUUACGUUGAAAAGUGAGCGGAUGAACUGAGGGUAGCGGAGAAAUUCCAAUCGAACCUGGAGAUAGCUGGUUCUCUCCGAAAUAGCUUUAGGGCUAGCCUCAAGUGAUGAUUAUUGGAGGUAGAGCACUGUUUGGACGAGGGGCCCCUCUCGGGUUACCGAAUUCAGACAAACUCCGAAUGCCAAUUAAUUUAACUUGGGAGUCAGAACAUGGGUGAUAAGGUCCGUGUUCGAAAGGGAAACAGCCCAGACCACCAGCUAAGGUCCCAAAAUAUAUGUUAAGUGGAAAAGGAUGUGGCGUUGCCCAGACAACUAGGAUGUUGGCUUAGAAGCAGCCAUCAUUUAAAGAGUGCGUAAUAGCUCACUAGUCGAGUGACACUGCGCCGAAAAUGUACCGGGGCUAAACAUAUUACCGAAGCUGUGGAUUGUCCUUUGGACAAUGGUAGGAGAGCGUUCUAAGGGCGUUGAAGCAUGAUCGUAAGGACAUGUGGAGCGCUUAGAAGUGAGAAUGCCGGUGUGAGUAGCGAAAGACGGGUGAGAAUCCCGUCCACCGAUUGACUAAGGUUUCCAGAGGAAGGCUCGUCCGCUCUGGGUUAGUCGGGUCCUAAGCUGAGGCCGACAGGCGUAGGCGAUGGAUAACAGGUUGAUAUUCCUGUACCACCUAUAAUCGUUUUAAUCGAUGGGGGGACGCAGUAGGAUAGGCGAAGCGUGCGAUUGGAUUGCACGUCUAAGCAGUAAGGCUGAGUAUUAGGCAAAUCCGGUACUCGUUGAGGCUGAGCUGUGAUGGGGAGAAGACAUUGUGUCUUCGAGUCGUUGAUUUCACACUGCCGAGAAAAGCCUCUAGAUAGAAAAUAGGUGCCCGUACCGCAAACCGACACAGGUAGUCAAGAUGAGAAUUCUAAGGUGAGCGAGCGAACUCUCGUUAAGGAACUCGGCAAAAUGACCCCGUAACUUCGGGAGAAGGGGUGCUCUUUAGGGUUAACGCCCAGAAGAGCCGCAGUGAAUAGGCCCAAGCGACUGUUUAUCAAAAACACAGGUCUCUGCUAAACCGUAAGGUGAUGUAUAGGGGCUGACGCCUGCCCGGUGCUGGAAGGUUAAGAGGAGUGGUUAGCUUCUGCGAAGCUACGAAUCGAAGCCCCAGUAAACGGCGGCCGUAACUAUAACGGUCCUAAGGUAGCGAAAUUCCUUGUCGGGUAAGUUCCGACCCGCACGAAAGGCGUAACGAUUUGGGCACUGUCUCAACGAGAGACUCGGUGAAAUCAUAGUACCUGUGAAGAUGCAGGUUACCCGCGACAGGACGGAAAGACCCCGUGGAGCUUUACUGUAGCCUGAUAUUGAAAUUCGGCACAGCUUGUACAGGAUAGGUAGGAGCCUUUGAAACGUGAGCGCUAGCUUACGUGGAGGCGCUGGUGGGAUACUACCCUAGCUGUGUUGGCUUUCUAACCCGCACCACUUAUCGUGGUGGGAGACAGUGUCAGGCGGGCAGUUUGACUGGGGCGGUCGCCUCCUAAAAGGUAACGGAGGCGCUCAAAGGUUCCCUCAGAAUGGUUGGAAAUCAUUCAUAGAGUGUAAAGGCAUAAGGGAGCUUGACUGCGAGACCUACAAGUCGAGCAGGGUCGAAAGACGGACUUAGUGAUCCGGUGGUUCCGCAUGGAAGGGCCAUCGCUCAACGGAUAAAAGCUACCCCGGGGAUAACAGGCUUAUCUCCCCCAAGAGUUCACAUCGACGGGGAGGUUUGGCACCUCGAUGUCGGCUCAUCGCAUCCUGGGGCUGUAGUCGGUCCCAAGGGUUGGGCUGUUCGCCCAUUAAAGCGGUACGCGAGCUGGGUUCAGAACGUCGUGAGACAGUUCGGUCCCUAUCCGUCGUGGGCGUAGGAAAUUUGAGAGGAGCUGUCCUUAGUACGAGAGGACCGGGAUGGACAUACCUCUGGUGUACCAGUUGUCGUGCCAACGGCAUAGCUGGGUAGCUAUGUGUGGACGGGAUAAGUGCUGAAAGCAUCUAAGCAUGAAGCCCCCCUCAAGAUGAGAUUUCCCAACUUCGGUUAUAAGAUCCCUCAAAGAUGAUGAGGUUAAUAGGUUCGAGGUGGAAGCAUGGUGACAUGUGGAGCUGACGAAUACUAAUCGAUCGAAGACUUAAUCAAAUU
rnacentral:rRNA from 2 species